AAUGAAAAUAUAAAUAAUACAUUUUGAACAUAAUAAUAAUAAUGAUAAUUAAUUCUCAAUCAGUAACAUUCUCUCUCUCUCUCUCUCUCUCUCUCUCUCUCUCUCUCUCUCUCUCUCUCUCUCUCUCUCUCUCUCUCUCUCUCCUUUAUCUCAUCCUUCUCAUGUCCCCCUCUUCUCUUCCUUCCUUCCUUUCUUAUAUUCUUCCUCCUCUUUUCUUCCUUUGUCUCUUCUGUCAGUCAUUCCUCUGAAAUAUGAAUAAAUUUAGAAUAAUAGUAAUAAAUUUAAUAGAAAUAAUUUCUUGUAUUCUCUCUCCUACACACACAAAACUCACUCUCUCUCUCUCUCUCUCUCUCUCUCUCUCUCUCUCUCUCUCUCUCUCUCUCUCUCUCUCUCUCUCUCUCUCUCUCUCUCUCUCUCUCUCUCUCUCAACAAAACCCCUUCUUUUACUCACAUACUCAAAAACUCCCUCCCACUACUCACUCAAACUGAUUCUCUUAGACACACACACACACACACACACACACACACACACACACACACACACACACACACACACACACACACACACACACACCCAGGCUUCCAAGUUGAUAAUCCAAAAGCCAGCAGAUGACAGCUUCCUUCCAGCACACACUUGUAUCGCCCAACUUGACCUGCCUGAAUACAAGCUGAUACAGUCCAUGCAGCAGAGAGUGCAGCCUCUACAAGUGAUGGAGGGUUGAGGGAGCCAGAAGGGCAUGGACACUUGGAUAUGGAUGACACUGGUUUGGGUGCCAAAUAUUAAUAGUGCACCUACACAAUUACCACACUCGCUCCUCUCACCAGGCUUAACUAUAAAUAAUUAAGGUAAAUAACAUCUGUCAUCUAUUAUCUAUUGUAUUCUAUAUUGCUGUUAAUGUUUCAUGUAUAAUGUAUAAUGUUAAUGUAUAAUGUCUUUGCUUUCAAAUGCAAGUCAAAAGGGUGAACCCAGGCCUUGCCAAAGACUAAUGUAUAAUUUUCCCAUUUAUAGUACUAUUCACAUUUGACAAAUUUCACUGCUAACAGUGAGGGACUACUGUAAAUGUAGUAAUAAUAAUAAUAAUAAUAAUAAUAAUAAUAAUAAUAAUAAUAAUAAUAAUAAUAAUAAUAAUAAAAAGUAAUGAUAAAGUGCAAGACAUGUUCAUUAAUGCAAUUAUUUUCUCCAACAUGGAGGAGUGAGUGAGGAGGCACAUUUGUCUGUGAUUAAGGAAUGCAAAUGACGAUGUUCCAAGGACGUCACCCUGUCCUGGGCCAUGACAUGAGAGAGAAGAGGAAAAAAAGGACUCUCUCUCUCUCUCAGUUUCCAUAACAUACCAAACUGCUCUGGUGUUAAUUUCAUGAAUUGCUGUAUAAUAGAAAUGGGAAUGUUAGUUCAAUGCAUUUAGCUCUGAGUGUGAAAGAAUGACAAGAAAGAAUGCAGAGGAUACUAGAACACAUGCACAGAAAACUGAAAGAUUUUUAAACUUCUGAAUAGGUGUGAAAAAAAAAAAAAAUGCAAAAUCAGUGUCUCCUUAAAACAACACAUGACAGCAAUGAUAACUUACACAACAAUAAUGCUUGAUGAAGACUAUAUUUCCAACACAGAUUUAUGACAACAUUUGGCAAAGCUGUGGACUGUUUGUGUUAAAACUAUCCUCUCAUGGCGAAGUUGGUUAGUCAUUAUAGGGUUAUGAUGAUAUAAUGGUGUUUAUUUUAGCUAAUUUCCAAUGACUCCUAAUAAUAUAAGAUUAAGUAAGUAUUUCAUUGUUUACAUUAAUUUACAAAAUUUCACAACUACAACCUCAGUGAUGUUUAGUUAAUCCAAUUUUGUUCAUAACUACUACACUUUUUCCAGUGGUUUACCCAUAGUACAACACAAACAACUACAAUAUCAUUCAUGUUAUUUCACUUCCAAAAAAAUUAAACAACUAUGUACAUGAUCUAGUUUACAAUAAAAGGAUUUUGAACAAUA